GACAGAGGUGCCAAGCGUUGUUCGGAUUCAUUGGGCGUAAAGGGUGCGUAGGCGGCGCGGUAAGUCGGGUGUGAAAUCUCGGAGCUUAACUCCGAAACUGCAUUCGAUACUGCCGUGCUUGAGGACUGGAGAGGAGACUGGAAUUUACGGUGUAGCGGUGAAAUGCGUAGAUAUCGUAAGGAAGACCAGUGGCGAAGGCGGGUCUCUGGACAGUUCCUGACGCUGAGACACGAAGGCCAGGGGAGCAAACGGG
rnacentral:rRNA from 1 species